AUGGCGGUGCGCGCGACGGUCUCCCGCUUCCCCGUGACGCAGGGGGCGCUGGACGAGUGCGGCAUCCAGUGGGGCAUCUCCGUGACGCCCUUCGCCGCCGACGACGAGACCGGCCAGCCGCCCGCCACCGCCGGCCGCGGCGACCGCCUCCCGCGCUGCGAGCGCUGCUGGGCCUACUUCAACACCUACUGCGACGUGGAGCGCUGGGGCUGGGCCUGCGCGCUCUGCGGCACCCUCAACGGCUUCGACGACGACGCCCUCCACCGCUUCCAGCGCCCAGAAGCUUGCCCCGAGCUCAACGCCUCCUUCAUCGACUUCGAGAUGCCAGUGGAUGAGGCGGAUGGUGCAGGUGAUGGUGUGAAGGCGCGGCCUGUCUAUGUGGCGGCGGUGGAUCUCGCUUGUUCUGAAGAGUUCCUGGAACUCAUCAAGAGUGCGCUUCUGGCAGCGCUAGAAGCUCUGAUUCCAGGCUCCCUGUUUGGGCUUAUGACAUUCAGCCACAAGAUUGGGUUGUAUGAUGUACAAGGUCCAGUCCCUGUCGUGAAAAAUGUUUUCAUCCCUCCAGACUCAGAAGAAGGUGGACUAGCUGUCGCCCUUGAAGAUGCCAUGCCCCUGCUUUCCUUUUUGGCCCCUGUUGAUACAUGCAAGGACCGAAUUGCCGCUGCCCUGGACACACUGCGGCCUACAUCUUCAUGGGAGAGAGGCGCUGCUUCUGGGCAGGAAGCAGAUACGGUCUUGCUUGGCGGGCGGGGUUUUGGAACAGCCAUGUCUUCUCUAAUUGACUACUUGAGUUCAGAGUAUGGUUCUACUUUUGCUUUGGCUAGGGUAUUUGCUUUUCUGUCUGGUGCUCCUGAUUAUGGAGAUGGUCAACUAGAUACUAGGAGAUAUGGUGAGCAAUAUGCUAGCAAAGGGGAAGAUGCUGACCUCGCGUUGCUCCCUGAGCAGAUACCUUUCUAUAGAGAUCUAGCAGCUGUUGCUGUUCAAGCAGGAGUAUGUGUAGACAUAUUUGCUGUAACUGAUGAAUACACCGAUUUGGCUUCGUUGAAGUUUUUAAGUAUCGAAAGUGGUGGCUCGUUAUUUCUCUAUGCAAACGCGGAUGAUUCAACACUUCCCCAGGACAUAUAUCGUCUGUUGAGUCGACCCUAUGCAUUUGGUUGUGUUCUCAGGCUGAGAACAUCACCAGAUUUUGAGCCUGGCCACUCUUAUGGCCAUUUCUUCCCUGAUCCUCAAUAUGAAAAUGUGCAACAUAUUAUCUGCUGUGAUUCUUUUGCUACAUAUGCCUAUGACUUUGACUUUACCCAUGCUGAUGGCUUCUCCAGGCACACAGAACCUGCUGUUGUACAGAUCGCUUUUCAGUACAGUGUAAUUGAGCCUGUGGAGGUGGCAUCAGGGAAUGGCCCACAAUCAUAUCCAAGGUUUUGUCUCAAGAGACGGUUGAGAAUAAGGACAUUGCAGUAUCGGCCGGCUAAUAAUAUCAAUGAAAUAUAUGACAGUGUCGAUCAAGAGGCUGUCCUACAUAUCCUUGUUCAUAAGGUUAUUCUAGUUUCACUGGAAAAUGGGGUUAGAGAAGGCAGAAAUUCGGUGCAUGAUUGGCUGGCUAUCCUUAUAACUCGGUAUAAUGAUGCGUUGAGAUCUGAUCCACGAACACCAGAAUCGCACAUUGAUAUAGACUUCUCACAAUGCCCCCAUCUGCAAAUGAUACCCCAGUUUGUGUUUGGAAUGUUGAGGAGCCCUCUUCUUCGCUUGCAUGAAGAAGGCAUCCACCCAGAUUACAGGAUAUAUCUUCAAUGCCUUUUCAGCUCACUGGAGCCAUCUUCUCUAGCCAAAGCUAUAUAUCCACUUUUAAUUUCGUACUCCUCACCUAAUAAGCAAGCAUUCCCACGGCACACUCUGAGCCGUGCUGCUCUGACGAUGAGUGAGAGCCCGAUAUUUCUUCUGGAUGCGUUUACCAACCUUGUUGUUUACUAUUCAUCGACUGCUGAUCCUUCGCUUCCUUUUCCUCCACCCCAUGACUGUCUUUUGAGAACAACGAUUAAUGCGUUGAAGCAGGACAGGUGUAUCACACCUAAGCUUGCAAUUGUUCGUGGGGGACAGGACGAUUCAUCGUUGUUUGAGAACUAUCUAAUUGAAGAGCAAGAUGUUGAUGGUUCCGGGUAUACUAGUGGUAAUGGUUUUAUAUCAUUCCGCGAGGGUAUCAGGAAUGAGGUAGCAGAGAUCCUCAAGGAAGAAAGUGGCAGCUAG
rnacentral:rRNA from 1 species